CAGAGUUCAUGCCCUUCGGGGUAGAUCUCCCACCCUUGUGUAUCAUUGUAGAAUGUUGCUUUGGCGGGCUGCGUGCCUCGCGCGCCCGGAUCUCGGUCCGGCCCGCCCGCCAGAGGACCCCUAAACUCUGAAUGUUAGUGUCGUCUGAGUACUAUUAAAUAGUUA
rnacentral:misc_RNA from 1 species